AAUUAUGCUACACAGAUCGCGGGCGGCGUCCGUCAUACAUGCAAGUCGAACGAUUCUUUUUCCACCGGAGCUUGCUCCACCGGAAAAAGAGGAGUGGCGAACGGGUGAGUAACACGUGGGUAACUGCCCAUCAGAAGGGGAUAACACUUGGAAACAGGUGCUAAUACCGUAUAACAAUCGAAACCGCAUGGUUUUAAUUUGAAAGGCGCUUUCGGGUGUCGUUGAUGGAUGGACCCGCGGUGCAUUAGCUAGUUGGUGAGGUAACGGCUCACCAAGGCGACGAUGCAUAGCCGACCUGAGAGGGUGAUCGGCCACAUUGGGAUUGAGACACGGCCCAAAUUCUUACGGGAGGCAGCAGUAGGGAAUCUUCGGCAAUGGACGAAAGUCUGACCGAGCAACGCCGCGUGAGUGAAGAAGGUUUUCGGAUCGUAAAAUUCUGUUGUUAGAGAAGAACAAGGAUGAGAGUAACUGUUCAUCCCUUGACGGUAUCUAACCAGAAAGCCACGGCUAACUACGUGCCAGCAGCCGCGGUAAUACGUAGGUGGCAAGCGUUGUCCGGAUUUAUUGGGCGUAAAGCGAGCGCAGGCGGUUUCUUAAGUCUGAUGUGAAAGCCCCCGGCUCAACCGGGGAGGGUCAUUGGAAACUGGGAGACUUGAGUGCAGAAGAGGAGAGUGGAAUUCCAUGUGUAGCGGUGAAAUGCGUAGAUAUAUGGAGGAACACCAGUGGCGAAGGCGGCUCUCUGGUCUGUAACUGACGCUGAGGCUCGAAAGCGUGGGGAGCAAACAGGAUUAGAUACCCUGGUAGUCCACGCCGUAAACGAUGAGUGCUAAGUGUUGGAGGGUUUCCGCCCUUCAGUGCUGCAAGCUAACGCCAUUAAAG
rnacentral:rRNA from 1 species